CACCUUCAGGAUCGCACCUGGGGAGCUUCCAGUAUUCUACCAGCCUUGGCUAUGGGAGGGAGAUUCAAACAGAGGCCUAUCCAUUCCAUUCCUAGCUUGGGCAGUGGCUAGUGAGUGGAAGGCCAUCUGCUACAAGU
rnacentral:snoRNA from 1 species